AUAUUAUAAUAUCAUGAAAUCAUACAUGCUUUAUAACAUAACACAUAUCAUACCUUUGCAUUUCAAUCAUCAGACAACAGAUUUUCCUCUUUUAUCAGCCUACUAGUAUCCAUGGGGAUCCAUAGGGGUCCCCGCUACACAUGAACCAUUCAUAUUGAUAACUUGAUUCAGGGCCAUCCCCAUACCCCGUCCGGUAUGGGCGCCAAAAA
rnacentral:lncRNA from 1 species